AUUGAACGCUAGCGGGAUGCUUUACACAUGCAAGUCGAACGCGUGGCGGACGGGUGAGUAUUAUAUCGGAACGUGCCCAGUAGCGGGGGAUAACUCCUCUAAAGAGUGCCUAUUACCGCAUACUCUUUGAGCUGCCGAUAUCGGAUUAGCUCGUUGGGGGGGUAAAGGCUCACCAAGGCAACGAUCCGUAGCUGGUUUGAGAGGAGGAGAAGCCACACGGGGACUGAGACACGGCCCAGACUCCUACGGGAGGCAGCAGUGGGGAAUGUUGGACAAUGGGGGAAACCCUGAUCCAGCCAUCCCGCGUGUAUGAGAAGGCCUUCGGGUUGUAAAGUACUUUUGGCAGAGAAGCGGUAUCUGCAGAAUAAGCACCGGCUAACUACGUGCCAGCAGCCGCGGUAAUUC
rnacentral:rRNA from 1 species